rnacentral:rRNA from 1 species
AGCAGCCGCGGUAAUUCCAGCUCCAAUAGCGUAUAUUAAAGUUGUUGCAGUUAAAAAGCUCGUAGUUGAAUUUCGGGAUCAGUACGCUGGUCGUGCCUUUGGUAUGUACUGGUGUCACUGAUUCCUCCCUUCUGAAGAACCGUUAUGCCAUUUAUUUGGUGUGGCGGGAAAUCAGGACUGUUACUUUGAAGAAAUUAGAGUGUUUAAAGCAGGCUCGCGCUUGAAUACAUUAGCAUGGAAUAAUGAAAUAGGACGUUUGAUCUUAUUUUGUUGGUUUCUAGGAUCGACGUAAUGAUUAAUAGGGAUAGUUGGGGGCAUUAGUAUUCAAUUGUCAGAGGUGAAAUUCUUGGAUUUAUUGAAGACUAACUACUGCGAAAGCAUUUGCCAAGGAUGUUUUCAUUAAUCAAGAACGAAAGUUAGGGGAUCGAAGACGAUCAGAUACCGUCGUAGUCUUAACCAUAAACUAUGCCGACUAGGGAUCGGAUGAUGUUAUUUUAAUGA